GGUUCCAUGGUCUAGUGGUUAUGACUCCGGAUUUUGAUUCCGGCAACUCGGGUUCAAUUCCCGAUGGGACCU